rnacentral:lncRNA from 1 species
GAAUUUAGAAACUAUAAACCGGCUCUCUUCUAGCUUACGACACAAACUAUGAGUGAGAAAAGGACAAAUGAUUCGCUCUUUGCUUCAUUUUUUCCGAGGUUGUCACAACAUGAAAUGUCAUUUGGACCUAUUGGACUCAUUUUAACUCGGCCAAAUACAUAGUAACAUACAUAAGAAGAUUUUACUUAUAUUUACCGAACUAUUUGACACGGUCGCGUGAACUUUGUUUACGAGUAUCUUGUGUUCAGAUUGUUUUAAGUGAUAAUUUAACAAUAUUUUUCCAAAUAAAUGGACAGAAACUUUUAUUUAUAUCAAAUAAUUGAGUGUCUCGACUCUGUGACAUUAUGUCUUGUGUGGUAUGGGGCUGCAGCUCACAUUCAGGAAGAAAAGAAAAUAGCCAACAACUUCUGUCGUUUCAUCGAUUUCCUGUAGACGAUAACAAAGAUAAAGAAUGGAUAAUUCACAUUAAUAGACGAAAUUGGAUUCCAAAUAAGUACAGCCGUAUUUGCUCGAAACAUUUUACUGCGGAUUCAUUUAUGUGUGUUCCUAAUUCGAAGUGGAGACGUCUUCGAGACGAUGCUAUUCCUACAUUGAACAUUAUAGAUAAGACAGAUGAAAUGGUAAUUACGGCCGAGCACCACACACCCGAAGUCUCGACGGCAAAAGGGACAAAAUUGUGGGUCCGCGUUAAAUUCCCAUAUUUCGCCAGUUUUUGGCUAGCGGCCCACUCGGCAGCCGGCCCUGCGGUUCGAGUAGUACGGGGCAGGUGCGUUGCUGCAAACCUGCAAGCGCAGGUCGCGUCCCACAAUAAAGCACGCUCCCUCUCCUAGGGUAUGAGCGUGAGCCCAUCGGGCCUCUUACCGUCUGUGCGGCUUAGACCCGGCGGUUCCAAUUUGCACGGCACGUCGAUCAACACCAGUGCACGGCGGAUGACAUCAUAAAUAAAUUCGAAUAUUACAAAAUACUUACCGAUGAAACGAUAA